rnacentral:rRNA from 1 species
AUUGAACGCUGGCGGCAGGCCUAACACAUGCAAGUCGAGCGGAUGAAGGGAGCUUGCUCCUGGAUUCAGCGGCGGACGGGGGAGUAAUGCCUAGGAAUCUGCCUGGUAGUGGGGGAUAACGUCCGGAAACGGGCGCUAAUACCGCAUACGUCCUGAGGGAGAAAGUGGGGGAUCUUCGGACCUCACGCUAUCAGAUGAGCCUAGGUCGGAUUAGCUAGUUGGUGGGGUAAAGGCCUACCAAGCCGACGAUCCGUAACUGGUCUGAGAGGAUGAUCAGUCACACUGGAACUGAGACACGGUCAAGACUCCUACGGGAGGCAGCAGUGGGGAAUAUUGGACAAUGGGCGAAAGCCUGAUCCAGCCAUGCCGCGUGUGUGAAGAAGGUCUUCGGAUUGUAAAGCACUUUAAGUUGGGAGGAAGGGCAGUAAGUUAAUACCUUGCUGUUUUGACGUUACCAACAGAAUAAGCACCGGCUAACUUCGUG